rnacentral:sRNA from 1 species
CUCUGUCAUCAGCAACGUAAUUUCCGCUCUGCCAGGCCCGGCUGUGCUUUGUGUCUGCGCGUGGGUGGGCCAAAAAAAAAAAGAAAAAAAAGAAAGCAAAAGCAAAAGCAAAAUGCGAAACAAAAAAGGAUUAAGGGCUGGAGAAAACUGUGUAGCCGAGACAAAAACUGCAGCGAUUGACCUCCAGCCGGAGUUCAUAAACAUCAAGUGGCCGGCAUAUCAAAUGGCCAAUGGUUCGGGCAACAAGUGAUCCGCUCCCAGUUGAGGACAGGUAUCAAAAACAACAACAGCAACAACAACAACAACAACAACUUGGCAGUUCAUCAAAUUCUCAUGUGACCAGAGCCCAAAAGCCCCCCCGCCCGGCCCCGCCCGACCGACUGCAAGCAGAGCUAUUGCACCCAGCACUUGUUGGAUUCUAGGGCUUGGCCGUUGCCGCCUCGGAAAUUCCCAUUCCACCCGAUCGUGGCGACCCUUUUUGACAGUACCCAGUAACCAGGCGCGUGAUGGAACGCCGGACAAUGGAAGUGCCACCGAGGAGUGUGUGUGUGUGUGCGUGUGUGUGUGCCCCGCCUGGUUAGUGGCAACAGGUAGCGAGUGCAUUUGUAUGCAGCAUGGCGGAUGCGCCGGCCGAAGCGUUUAUUUCUUCAUUUGACGCAAAUGAUGUUCGACACAAGCCUGGAAUGCACUAAACCGCUAACUAAGCACAAUCCGAAGCCCGAAUCCACCAAUCCCCAAAUCCCAAAACCCAAACCCAAACCCGAAGCCGAAGCCGAGAGCUGAUGUCGAAACUGAAACCGAAGCUAAGCCAGAACCAGAGUUUUCUGACCGCAGCACGCAAAGGGAAAGGCAACCGACUGCAACAACAACAACAUAUGGCCAGAUACACUAGUUUUCAGAACUUUCUCUACCUUCUCCUCGACGACAUCAAAUCUCUAACCCUGCAGCUGAGCUCAAAAAUUGUGUUGAUUUUCCGAAAAGAAACUUACUUUGUGACAAAAAAUUUCUCGCGGUGCAUGAUUCUUGUUAUUUGAAACCCGGAUUUAAACAGAACAUGAAAAAGAAAGAAGAACGAGCCACAAAUUACUUUUACCGAUCACAAACACACAACAACAACAACAACAAGAAGAACAAGAGCCAGGCGAGGAAUAAGAACAUGAAGACGCGGAGAAUGACGACGAUGAUGACAAGUCGAAGUGAAGUGGACACCAGCUGAAUGCAAAUGCAUAAAUUAAGCGACAAGCAAACAAAUUUCCUAUGUACAAAUGCACUUGUCCAAAGGUUGGGCACAAUGCCCGAUCCUCAAUAUGCCAUGCCCACGCAUCCAUUCGCGGCCCAAACAAAUUGUGCAUGCAAAACCGAAUUCUCGACAAGAAUAUGGGCAUUAUUAUUAUGGUAUUAUUUUGUUUCUUGUAAGGCCGCCAAGCCGGAUGAACUUAUUGUUUAUGACAAUUUUGUUGAUGUUAUGCGGAAUUCCGAAAGAAACAUGGGCCAAGGCGUUGACAGCCUACAAAGUAACUUGUUAAGCGAUUUUUGAUUCUCACUGCAAGCAAGAAAUAUGGCAAAUAGCUAUUGUUACGACUGAGGAUUCGAACCUUUAACCAGAUUUUCACUAGUUCAAACCUUAAACCUUAUC